rnacentral:tRNA from 1 species
GAGGGGAUAGCUCAGUAGCAGAGUGCACGCCUAGCAUGCAUGAGGUCUUGGGUUCAAUUCCCAGUACCUCUA